AUACGGAGGAUGCGAGCGUUAUCCGGAUUUAUUGGGUUUAAAGGGUGCGUAGGUGGUAGAUUAAGUCAGCGGUGAAAGUUUGUCGCUCAACGAUAAAAUUGCCGUUGAUACUGGUUUACUUGAGUAUAGUUGAAGUAGGCGGAAUGCGUGGUGUAGCGGUGAAAUGCAUAGAUAUCACGCAGAACUCCGAUUGCGAAGGCGGCUUUCUGAGUUAUAUCUGACACUGAGGCGCGGGUGCGUGGGUAUCUUACUGGAUUUGUUACCCUGGUUGUCCUCGCUGUAGUCGAUGAUUGCUAGCUGUUUGCGAUAUACAGUAAGUGGCACAGCGAAAGCGUUAAGUAUUCCACCUGGGGAGUACGCCGGCAACGGUGAAACUCAAAUGAAUUGACGGGG
rnacentral:rRNA from 1 species